AGUGUGUCAGUUAAAAAGAGGUGCACCACUGCGGGACAGGGGGGGAAGUGGAUGGGACAGGAUGUGUGUGGUGCAGUAUACGAGCAUCCCCUCCGCUCAGAUCGCAGCUCAUUUGUCAAGUUGCCUGCAGACUUGAAUGGUGCAUUGCUG